rnacentral:sRNA from 1 species
AAAAUUGUGGCGCGUGCUAGUUUCCAAGGCAACUAAGUAACCGGAAACGGAAGUUCAUCCAAGGGGCGGCGGUUAGCUCUGAGGUAGAAUCUGUUCGAUAUGACUAGGAACUGUUAACAUAGUCUCUGAAUUUUUGUUUUGUGUUAUAAGACACAAACUGGGUAGGGACAGAAGUUUGAGAAGGGAUAGAAAACUGUUACAAGCAGUCCAGAUAUUGUAUUCCUGCUUUCUCCCGGCAUGCACCUUUGUUACUUCGCCAUGGGACCUAACCACUUUGCAUUCUGGGAGUUGUAGUUUUAUUUCAUGACUCCUUAACCGUGGGGACUUUGGUAUAUUUUUUUGGUUUUUGUAUUCAGAUAAGAAAGGGAUUUUUUUUUAAGCUUGUACUUUUUCCCCGUUGUAUACCUUGAAAUCUCCUCAAUUAUCUUUCAGUGUGGAGCUAAGUGCGCACUUCUUAAUAGAACAGUACAGUGACCAAGCUUUCUCUACCAAGUAGAAGAUGAUCUACUAAUGCUGGGUUAUUGAACGGCAUUUUAUUAAGAAUAUAGCAAGCAAAAGUAAAAUAGCAGAUAGAAAUAGGAAGUAGCAGAUAGAAACAUCAGAUCGAUAAUUCAAUAAAUUCAAUAGAAUAAAUUGGAGGCUUACACAUACUUAGUUGAAAUCAACUAGGGAAGCCAUUGAGGUAGUUAGCUAGAAUUUCCAAUGAGAGUUCCAGGAAGAGCAGAAUGUCUAAUUGGGUAACUGUGCCAAGUAAAAUAACACAAGCCAAGAAGCAGAGAGAUAAGAGCAUCAAAUCAGGCCUUCCCAAGUAUUCCCCAGGAAUGACUAAAGCAAACCUUUUGAAAGAGUCAUAGCUGAGUUCCUAACCCAGAUUCUGGGCAGAAGCAGCUCUCUCUCUCACCUCCACUGUGCCAUCUUGAUCAUCUCCAAGAUGGAUGUAGAUAGUGUGAUACUGGGAUGGCUGAAACCUUUUAAAAUCUCAGUGACAUGUCUCUUCCCACAAGGCCACAUCGUCCCCAACAGCGCUACCAGCUGGGGAACUAAGUGUUCAAACAUCUGAACCUUGGGGGACAUUCUCAUUCAAACACCACAGAAGCUGAACUAGAUUCCAUGGGGAACAGUGAGUGGCAAGUCAUUCUAUCCACACGUCUCCAAUAAUCUAUCGGCCCUGUCAAAUGUGGCACCAAGUGUGUAUGAGGAAAGAUUACUGUCUUUUUUUUCUACAGAAACAACCAACCAAAUUGGUGUGGGCAGUAGGCUUCUCACUUCAAUGUGUCAACUGCAGCUUCAAACAGACGGACAAUAGCCAGUGGGGUUGUGUAUCCCCUAGUUCCUGGUAUAACAAGGAAAAGGCUGAAGUAAGUGUACAGUCACUCCUACUACAUAACAGCUGACUUUACUUACUUUCAUCCUGCCCUCAUCAGAGAAUUAGCAGCCAUGUGACUUCUUAGACAUCAUCACACAAGGGACAUUCAUGCAAUCAAUAAGAAGGAAGGAACAAAUCACACCCAUUUCAUGUGUGUGGAGUGAGUCUUUGGUCCACCAACGAUCUCCACAGAAAGCAGGAUGGCCCGUUUAGGAGCUCAGUUCCAUUCAAUUCUGAUCAUCUCAAACCCAUCUCCACUAAGAACAGGGAGGCAAUGAAGAGAUUAGGGCCGAAUCUGUAAUGCCAUUGAUUGAGUUUUAAGAGCCUGAGUUCAGUUUUUUGAAACAGUGGAGCUGUCUGUACACCGACUCAACAAGAUCACUCCUGGGGCUGGGGAUUUGGCUCAGUGGCAGAGCACUUGCCUAGGAAGCGCAAGGCCCUGGGUUCGGUCCCCAGCUCCGAAAAAAAGAACCAAAAAAAAAAAACAAGAUCACUCCUGUUUAGUUGGAGAGCCAUUUCAUCUCACGAGGGGCUUACCUUUCAGAGAAAUCUUCCUCAAUAUCGAAAUAAGAUCUUUCUUGAAUGGACUUUGAUUUUGAUCAAGUAGCUUGUAUUUUCAAGUCUACAGUGUUACUAAACCAACUUAUCUCAGAUUGUUUAGGAGUGUUAUAGUUUACAAAAGGGAUCAGCGAAGAAGGCAAAACUGUGGAUCCUAAUUUGUAAAACAGUCGGGCAGCCUUUAAAAGACAGAGCUACUCCAAACCCCAGGAAGGAUGCACUCUGUUCAUCACUAAGCCCACUUUGCCUAACUUCCCCCAUUCAUCCCCACAGACCUUUUGUGAGUUAGAGAUCUUCAUUUCCACCUCACUGCAGGCUGCAAUACACAAAGAAGCCAGUGGCUGCAGUGGGCAGUGCUGGUAUUUGCUUAUACUGACCAGUAGAGGGCCUCGCUGCACCUCCUCCCUCUCUUCCCUGGGCGUCUCCUCCCCCAGUCAUUUGAAUUGGCUCUAGAUUAUUUGUUGCAAUUCAUUCUGACCGAAGAGGCGCAAUGGUGUGAGGAUUUUAAAGUUUAAGCACCGAAGCCAUGGCAUAGUUGUAUCAUGUCACUGUGGCUGUCAGCCCUGUGUGAAUGCGACCCCACCUUCUGUAACUGUUCAUGCAGACUUCAGCAAUGCACAACGGAUGCAGGGAGAGCUUUGGGCUGCAGAAUUCUACCUCCAGACAACCUUCCAUAACUCUGAGAAUCUUUCGUCAGUUUAAAAAACGAGGCCCCAGGAUUCCUCUCUCACAAUCAGACAGAACUGGCCAAAGUCAAUGAGCAAAAUUGUCACCAUUUAAAUGGUAGAAGCCUGCAAAGUUACCCCAAACCGAGAGGCCCAUCAGCAGCCAGCUAGGAUGGACUCCUGUCCUGCUGUGUACUGGUAGGUACCCUCGGCUGGCUGCCCAGUUGCUCUCACCCACCAGAAUCUCCAGCUGUGUUGUAGCUUGUGCACGGAUGAGAUAAUGCUCACUAGUAUGAAUAAAUACAAUUUCUGAAAAAAAAAUACAUCUCAUACAAAAGUGGGAUGGACUCAUCUCAGCUGUUCAUGCCUAAAGACCUGAGGAAGAAGACAAUCUUGUCUGAGUUUCAGUUUGAAGAAGUUUCAUCUUUCAAAUGCCUUCUGCCAGCAAGAACCAACAGUGGUCAAUAAAGAUCGGCAAGUUCCCUCUUUCUGUGCUUCAGAAAAGCCAACUACAGAGAUCGGCACAUGACUCAGGUUCGUGAGAAGGAAACUGCUUUGCAGGGGCUUUAAAAAUACCGUCAAGUCCUAGAUUUCCAACCUCUAAGCUCCAGGGUUUGACACCAAGCAGGCUACCACCCUCUCUCGCACUUCCCCAUAGCCAUGGAGGAACAGAGCCGGGGACAUUAGUCAGCAGUUUCUGAAUCUUGACCCACAAUGGGAAAGAUACCCGAGCCAGGGGAAAUAGAUGGAGGCAAUUACAAACAGCUACUUGAUUGAUGGUUGACAUUGUCAGGCCUCCACUGUCUGGCAAAUUGCAAUGGUGUUGAACUCCCUUUGCUACCAGUGGAUGUUGCUAUUGGCAACCGUGCAGUAAAGCCAAUAAAAAGGCAAGAAGAGGAGAGGAAAACUCAACCUUUGUGGAAGCCGUAGGGUCUGUGCUAUAAAUUAUGUGCCCCUCAGCACUAUGUAGUAUCGACAUUCAGGGUGGAGGGGACCUGUCUCAUUGCUGCCUGCAGUCUCUGGAAGACCCUAGGUUCGGUAUUAUCAUAAAGCACACGUUUGAAAUUCUUGGCUGCAGAUGGACUGGUAUCCGUUUUUCUGCCUAUUUAUUUAUUUAUUGUUUGGAAGGGUACCAGAUGUGUGCUCACUGCAACCUCAUAUGGACUGACUCUCGAUUCCCAUCUUAGAUAUAAACGUGAUGAGGUGAUGUGGUGCAGUACCGGAAGGCACCUGGGCUGCAGACCAGAUGAUCAUGCAGACGGCCCAGCCCCACCCCAACCCUGUCUAUUCCUAGCUCCGCCUCUCCUUUGUUCCUCACCUGAAGGAGGGGAGACAGCUCUGCAGAAGCUAUUUUCCUUUAUAGCAGAGUGAUUCAGAAAACCGGCUUAAUAAAAUCCAUAAAUCUGAA